rnacentral:ncRNA from 1 species
UAGCGCGAGACCUCAUCGUUACGGUGAGGGGACGAGGAAGAGGUUGUCGAAUAUUCAGCGGAUGCCUCUCGGCCCGGCCGGUCGAAAAAGCUGCGAAAUACGUGUGGUGACAUGCGGGACAAAGCAGUGCAU